rnacentral:rRNA from 1 species
UGCAGUCGACGGCAGCACGGGGGCAACCCUGGUGGCGAGUGGCGAACGGGUGAGUAAUAUAUCGGAACGUGCCCUGGAGUGGGGGAUAACGUAGCGAAAGUUACGCUAAUACCGCAUACGAUCUACGGAUGAAAGUGGGGGAUUCGCAAGAACCUCAUGCUCGUGGAGCGGCCGAUAUCUGAUUAGCUAGUUGGUGGGGUAAAAGCCUACCAAGGCGACGAUCAGUAGCUGGUCUGAGAGGACGACCAGCCACACUGGAACUGAGACACGGUCCAGACUCCUACGGGAGGCAGCAGUGGGGAAUUUUGGACAAUGGGCGCAAGCCUGAUCCAGCAAUGCCGCGUGAGUGAAGAAGGCCUUCGGGUUGUAAAGCUCUUUUGUCAGGGAAGAAACGGUGGGCUCUAAUACAGGCCACUAAUGACGGUACCUGAAGAAUAAGCACCGGCUAACUACGUGCCAGCAGCCGCGGUAAUACGUAGGGUGCAAGCGUUAAUCGGAAUUACUGGGCGUAAAGCGUGCGCAGGCGGUUUGGUAAGACAGAUGUGAAAUCCCCGGGCUCAACCUGGGAAUUGCAUUUGUGACUGCCCAGCUAGAGUGUGUCAGAGGGGGGUAGAAUUCCACGUGUAGCAGUGAAAUGCGUAGAGAUGUGGAGGAAUACCGAUGGCGAAGGCAGCCCCCUGGGAUGACACUGACGCUCAUGCACGAAAGCGUGGGGAGCAAACAGGAUUAGAUACCCUGGUAGUCCACGCCCUAAACGAUGUCUACUAGUUGUCGGGUCUUAAUUGACUUGGUAACGCAGCUAACGCGUGAAGUAGANCGCCUGGGGAGUACGGUCGCAAGAUUAAAACUCAAAGGAAUUGACGGGNACCCGCACAAGCGGUGGAUGAUGUGGAUUAAUUCNAUGCNACGCGAAAAACCUUACCUACCCUUGACAU